AUCAACUGGCUAUUUUGCAUAUACGUUACCAACAAGAUGUUUUAUUUGCAGUUUUGCACUUGGCAACUACUCGUAUAAUGACGUAUUUUGAUUUCGCCAAAGCAAAUUGUUCUGACAUUAUUGGCAAUUUCACUAAGAACGAAAACAAGAUCAGUACUCUUUAAGAUCUGGCCUUGCAUAAUCAUCGAGCUUCAUCUUUUAAGCCUUAAAUUUCUUGAUCAAACCCCAAUAUUAUUAGAAGGGUCAUUUCAAAUAAUUGAUCACAAAGCUGUUAGCUCCAAGGCUGGUUAGAUAAUCUGAUACAAACUUAAUGGUACAAACGUUAACCACAAUUCUUGUUGUCUAAAACUCUUCUCUUACAACAAAUUGUUGUAGGAUUCUUCGUGUAUUUAUCUCUCGAAAUUCUAUGGUGAAGAAAAUAACGCUAUUAUCAAGAAUUUUAUUGCUAUCAUUGGGCUACUUUGGAAUUUUUUAGCGUUAGUUCACAUCACAUGGAUAUAUAAGUGACAUUUCGUAAAAUAUCAACGCUAGAUAUGUCUAGAGUGUCACAAGAGACAAGUAAUGUGACUGAUAUUGUGAUGCGAUACAUUUUGGUACUUUUGCAAAGGAGCUAGCUUUACUCUUGAUGGCUCAACAUUUGAAAUGAAAGAAUGAAAGUUUGUCAAGGAAACUUGGGUGAGGGAGGCUUGAGCCCCCGAGCCCCUCAACAGCUGGUGCUUCGUUUUUUGGAUCUUCUUUCAAUUCUUAAAUCUAGCAAAAUGGAUUUGAUAUACAGUGUGGGAUGUGCAUUUCAAUUUGUUCCCACUUUUAAAGAAAUCAUGCCUAUUUGUUUAACACAGAAAAUUGUUCUUGUAUCUUUUCAUCGCUUCGCGCUAGGGUCUCAACUUGAGCCAGUGUAUAUGUAAAUUGACUAGCUGGCUUUAUAAACAAAAAAUAGGGAAUCAACAAAACAAACAUUGUUUAGAUGUUUUUCCUACAUCUCUUUACAAGGGAUCAUGGUCAUUAGCACUAUUGAGCCAAUUUUCCCUUAAAAGAUGAUUUCACUGCUAUCGUCAUAUCAUGUGGUCUUAAAUUAUAGUUAAAUUUAUUUACCGUAAUUUUUUUGAGAUUAUUACAAUCUUCCCUAGAUAAUCUUACAAUCAAUUCUAAUCUUGAAUUGAUGUUUUGCGAUUUCUUAACAUUUCUAGCUAUUGGAUAACAAACGAUCAUUUGCUUUUCAUCAUGAUAAAACCAAAGAGUGAUACGAUAAAAAGAUUUCAAGCAGUUCACAAGACAUAGCUAAAGUACUUAUAAAUAUCUUUAUUCCUACAAAUUUUGAUUAGAUAAGAGAAAAUACAACAUGUUUGUUGUCGUUCAUCUGUGUUCUCCUAGCUCUAGAAAAUUAAUCAUUUUUGAAACCAUCUUCUCUCCAAGUCAGCUGAUAACUAAUGGUAUUCUAUGCCUUCUGAUUACAGGACUGUUCAUUCAAGUUUGCCAAACAGGCAUAUAUGUAUUAAAAAUCAAACACAAACUGAAGUGACAUUUCACAAACGUCUUUCAAGUUACCCUCGUAUGCAGUCAAUACAUGGGAGAUGUAUCAAUUAGAGAGGACACUUUUCAUAGGUCGAAAGCAAGUUGAAGGAAAGUGCUCGAUGAUCAAUCCACGCCUUUACGAAUAACAGACAUAGAGAGGCAACCAGUUAACAGAGCCCACAUCAACAGAAUCAGUUAAAGUAAGCUGUUCUCGCAUAUUUCUGCUUUAUAUAUUGUCUUACUUUUGACACCCUGUCCCAGAAAUUUGAUUUCCUGUCGCAUGAUUUUAAUCGGAAAAGGAUGCCCUGUCCCGCGGCACAUCCCGCGAGGUCAAUAAUUGGAGUGCCCCCGGUCCACGCCCUUAUGAAAUAACAAACAGGGCGAUCAGUUAGCAAAAACCACUAAUAUCAGACAUCACUGUUGCACAUAAAAAUGCCACCAGACGAUCAUCCUAUUAGCCAUUCGCGAGACGUUUAAAGCUGGAAAAAUCAAACUGCUUUUGAAGUGCACUGUGGCACUUUACGUCAUAUCCCGCUCCAUAAGGCAUUCUAAAGGUUUAAGAUCUUGUACUAUAGCAGGAAGCAUGUUUGCCAAGCGGAUGGCAAUUGGUACUGUAUCGCUUAUUCUUGCAAUCAUUCUUAAUUAGAUCUCGUAGAUAUCAAUAAAAUAGAACUCAGGUUGCCAGCAUUGAAUCACAGAUACCACAAACCUAAACGUCAAAACCAAAAUCUCAGGUCACUUGUUAUUUACUUUCGUUGUUGCCUAGCGACUGCAUUAACAUUGCUCACACUCUCACCGCCAAUUUGCCCGUGCAACUUAAACUUUAAAUGUGCAUUGAAAAUAUUAAAAAUUCAUAGAUUUCGUCCUCACCAAGAACGUAUAUUCUCAGCCACAAUUGUUAUUCUACUGAGGUCACAGUGUUUGGUUGAAUAGCUACGAUGAAUACAUGGUUAUGAUGAUUAUGAUUUCGAUAAGCCUAUAAUCUUGAUGAUUAUUCUUAUCAUGAUUAUGAUGAUGGUGGGAAUAACGAUGACUUAUAUAUGAAUGUUUUUAUGCGGAAUGACGACAGCGAUCUCUGCUUUCUAGCUUUCUUUGCAUAAGUGCUCUAGAAUACCUUAAAAUCACAGUGAUGAUGAUGCAAUAGCGUCAAAUAUUGGUAGGUAUAUAUCGAUCUGAUUCAUCAAUUUAACUGCAUCAGCACUAAUGUGCUUUCUAAAUGAAUGUCGUACUGGCCAUCCUUUAACAAAAUUGUCGAGAACUCCAUGAAUUGCUCAUACGGAAGUUGUUAGUAUCAUGGAGAUUUUCAAGCCAGUCUACAUAACAAAACAUAACAUAUUGUGACGGAAUUUCGGUUGACAAUUUUCUUCCACUGACGCGAGUAAAGAAAGAAGAGCUGACGAUAAGAUGGACGCAUGAUAUUAGGUUAUUUGCAAAAUUCGUUGCUUGGCUUCUCUAAGCUUUAUAAAUCCAAUCCCAUUUAGGGAUAGAUAGCAUGCAAAAUAGCGUCUGACUCGAUCAAGGAUGAUAACACCGCUUAAAGAACUACAUACAUAUUCAAAAAUGAUCAUAAAUACGGUUUUAAAGAUCGCCCGGCAGGCGUAGAAGUGAAACCUACCCUUU